GUUUAAUUAAAAAGGCCAGAUACAGAACAGAGUGUUUAUAAUGUUACUACUUCUGUGUGAGAAAGAAGGGCAUUAUCUUAGUCAGUUUGAGAUGUUAUAACAGAAUACUAUCAACUGGGUGGCUUGGAAACUAUAGAAAUGUAGUUCUCAAAGUUCUGGAAGCUGGAAGUUCAAGACCAGGUGCCAGCAUGGUUGGGUCUGGUGAGGGCCCCUUCUGGGUUGCAGACUGCCAACUUGCCACUGUGUCCUCACAUGGCAGGAAGAGGACCAGAGAGCUCUCUGGGGUCCCUUUUAUAAGGACACUGAUCUCAUUCAUGAGGGCUACACGCUCAUGACCCACUUACCUCCCAGAGUCCCCUCCUCCCAAUACCAUCACAUUGAGGGUGGAGAUUACACCAUAGGAAUUUGGGGGGUAGGAACGUAGGCAUGUGGGGGACAGAGGAGACAUAAACAUCCAGCCCAUGGCAGGAGGCAAGGAAAAAAUCUAUUUUUGCAUCUCCUUGUUCUUUGUCUCAGAGACGCGGGAAGGCAGGGUGAUAAUCAAAAUAUUUAACAACCAGUGCAGAGCAGACCGCAGCAGCAGCAGCAGCUCUGAGAGAGGGACUUCCAAGGAACGGAAAAAGGGGUCAUCUUAGAGACGGGAGACAAGCGAACAGGAUGGGAUGGAAACAAGACUUCUCAGUCCCUGCUUUUUUAAAUUUUUAUUUAUUUAUUUUUUUUGAGACGGAGUCUCACUCUGUCACCAGGCUGGAGCGUACUGGCGCAAUCUCGGCCUCAGCUCACUGCAACCUCUGCCUCCUGGGUUCAAGCAAUUCCCCUGCCUCAGCCUCCAGAGUAGCUGGGACUACAGGCAUGUGCCACAAGGCCUUGCUAAUUUUUUUUUUUUUUUGUAUUUUAGUAGAUACGGGGUUUCACCAUGUUAGCCAGGAUGGUCUUGAUCUUCUGACCACGUGACCCACCCGCCUUGGCCUCCCAAAGUGCUGGGAUUACAGGCAUGAGACACCACGCCUGGCCCAGCCCCUGCUUUUUUAUCCUGUUUUGAUGUUUGGACCAUGGGACUGUAUUGCCUGGUGCAAAAAUCAUCAUUCUUUUAAAAAGCACUGCACGUGGAAGAGUAGCUUUCCUUCCCUGUUCCCCACAUCAUGGAGGCAUGGGGAGGCCUUGGAAGAGGAGAAGGUUUGGUGGACAGCAGUGAGCUCUGUGUGUUCCUGUAACACCUCGGCUACGUCUGUCAGUCUGUCUGUCCGGUGCUCCAGCUCAGGGGUGAAGCCUCGGACCUUCUCUGGGGGAGUUGCCCUCCAUUAUAUUAGCUGAGGUAUAUAGAAGAUGACACAGGGUAAGAGACAGGGUGCUUCUCCCCUCCUCAAAGACUCCUCAAGCUUUCUAUUGGGGGCAAAGACCCUGGAGCUUCCUCAGCUGCCUUAGUGCAAUGUCCAGCACGUAGUAGGCACUUAGUAAGCCUUCAUUUAAUUAACUGCUCCCCUGCCUGCCUGGUUGUUUCACCCUUUGGGUGGUAAGCCUCUUACUCACACAAAUCUGCCCCUGUGGUUUAAGCCUCAGCUUUGCUGGUACAAGGGACCAUAUUAUUAUAAUCAGAUCAUCAGAUUACUUCCUCUUUGCAUCUGGCAGAGAUCAGUGCACUGAGCAAAGGGAAAUGAAAGCACAAAGCAUCCAUCCCAUUGGGCAGAAAUUUAUUAAGUACCCACUAAAAAAUAAAUGUAUCAAGAACCUAAGCCUUGGGUCUAGGUUCUGCAACGCAGCAUGCCUUGGACUACCUGUGCCAGGGCACUCCCUUUGCUCUGUGCACUCCCUCUGUGGGGGUGACAAGUGGCAGCUAACACUUACGGAGCACUCACAAGUGCCAGGCCCUGUGCCGAGCACUCCGUACACAAUGUCUCACUCAAUCCUCACAAGUGCUUUCGUGAUUAGACAUGUGCAGGAGCAAGCAACAGAAACAAGACCCAAACUGGCUUAAGCAAGAGGAGAUUCUAUUGGCUCACACAACCGCGGGUUAGUAAGCCUCGGUAUGGUGGGAUCAAAGCUCUGACUGUUUCUCUGACUUUCUUUUUCACACAAACUUCCCUCAUGGCUGCGAGAUGGCCACCAGGAGCAGCUGGACAGAAUGCUUCCUAUUCCUGUCCAGCAGGAGAGACUGAACUUCCCAGGGCUUGCUUUCCAGAAUGAGGAAGAUGCCUUCCCAAAAGUCCCAAGUAAGCCUCCCUUUACAUCUCACCUCGUUAGCCCAAAUUGGCUUAGACCUGCCCAUCCCAUAAUCCAAUAAUUAUUUUAUUUUAGACGGAGUCUCACUCUGUCACCCAGGCUGGAGUGCAGUUGCGCGCUCUUGGCUCACUGCAACCUUUGCCUCCCGGGUUCAAGCGAUUCUCCUGCCUCAGCCUCCCGAGUAGCUGGGACUACAGGCACAUGCCACCACCCCUGGGUAAUUUUUUGUGUUUUUAGCAGAGAUGAGGUUUUACCGUGUUAGCCAGGAUGCUCUCGAUCUCCUGACCUUGUGAUCCGCCUGCCUGGGCCUCCCAAAGUGCUGGGAUUACAGGCGUGAGCCACCGCGCCCGGACUCCAUUAAUUCUUAACCCUGACUGCUCAUCAGAAUUCACAGGAAGUUUUUGAAAAAAUAUUGAUGCCUAGGCACCACCGUGGCCCUAUCAAAUCAGAAACUUUGUGGGUGAAGCCCAGGCCUCAGCAUUUUUAAAAACUUCCCAGGUAUUUCUUUUUUCUUUUUUUUUUUUGCGACAGAAUCUUGCUCUAUUGCCAGGCUGGAGUGCAGUGGCCUGAUCUCAGUCCACUGCAACCUCCACCUCCUUGGUUCAAGCGAUUCUUGUGCCUCAGCCUCCCGAGUAGCUGGAAUUACAGGCGCCUGCCACCACGCCCGGCUAAUUUUUGUAUUUUUAGUAGAGAUGGGGUUUCACCAUGUUAGUAGGGCUGGUCUCAAACUCCUGACCUCAGGUGAUCUGCCCGUCUCGGCCCCCCAAAGUGCUGGGAUUAUGAGCCAAACCACCGCGCCUGGCCCUUCCCAGGUAUUUCUAAUGCGCAGUGAGUGCCCCAGGGUUAGACCUUGGGCAUUGUCUCCAAAGGAGGUCACCUGCUCAGUGACAGGGAACCUGGCCCAACUGAUGACAACUGAUGACAACAUUCAUUGGGAAGCUUCACACCUGCGGCCCACUGCCCGAAGUGUACCAGCAAUUAAUAAUUCUAAUAAAUCCUAUAAUUUUCUUGUGAAUAGCAUAAUUAUAUUGCUUGGCAAUUUGUGUGUGUGCUAAAAGCAUUAAUUUGUUAAAUGUAAACAUCUAAAACAUGCCACAAUCAUCGUAAGCCGUAUUAGCAUGUCUUGAUUUUUUUAAAAAACCAGGAGUGGCCGGGUGCGGUGGCUCACGCCUGUAAUCCCAGCACUUUUGGAGGCCGAGGCGGGCGGAUCACGACGUCUGGAGAUCGAGACCAUCCUGGCCAACAUGGUGAAACCCCGUCUCUACUAAAAAUACAAAAAUUAGCCGGGUGUGGUGGUGCACGCCUGUAGUCCCAGCUACUCGGGAAGCUGAGGCAGGAGAAUCCCUCGAACCUGGGAGGAGGAGGUUGCGGUGAGCAGAGGUUGCGCCAUUGCACUCCAACCUGGGCAACAGAGUGAGACUCCAAAAAAAAACAAACAAACCAACAAAAAAAACAAUAAAACCCAGGAGUUUCCAAAACUGGAAGGAGCUCGGGGCCACUCUUGGCUUCUAGAGAGUUCCCACCCUGAUAUCUGGCCACAGGCUGGGUUGCCCAGCCCUGGGCCCUUCCCUUCUGUGAAAGUUUGAGUUCUUGAUCCCAAUUCUUCAUUACCCUGUAGUGGUGUUUAGCAUUUUACCCAUCAACCGUGGCCUCCUUGUGGAUGGAGUGUACUCUCUUCUUCUAGACUUUCAGCUUGAUCAUGUGACUUGCCAGGACUUGCUGUUCAGACGUGAACAGAAGCUGAAACUAGCUUUCCUGGUUCCUUAUGCUUUUGCUGUAGCCACUGGAAGAAUAAAUACCUCCCAGAUGGCUGCUGCUGCCCCUUCAGUCCAGGCCUGUGAUGGUUAAUUUUAUAGGCUUAACUGGGCUAAGGGUAUCCAGAUAGCUGGUAUUAUUUCUGGGCGUGUCUGUGAGAGUGUUUCUGGAAAAGAAUAGCAUUUUAAUCAAUGGACUGAGUAAAGAAGGUUGCUCUUAGGCCAGGCGUGGUGGCUCACAUCUGUGAUCCCAGCACUUUGGGAGGUUGAGGCAGGUGGAUCACUUGA
rnacentral:lncRNA from 1 species